GGGAUUGCCCUAGUAACGGCGAGUGAAGCGGCAACAGCUCAAAUUUGAAAUCUGGCUCUUUCAGAGUCCGAGUUGUAAUUUGCAGAGGGCGCUUUGGCGUUGGCAGCGGUCCAAGUUCUUUGGAACAGGACGUCACAGAGGGUGAGAAUCCCGUACGUGGUCGCUAUCCUUCGCCGUGUAAAGCCCCUUCGACGAGUCGAGUUGUUUGGGAAUGCAGCUCUAAAUGGGAGGUAAAUUUCUUCUAAAGCUAAAUACUGGCCAGAGACCGAUAGCGCACAAGUAGAGUGAUCGAAAGAUGAAAAGCACUUUGGAAAGAGAGUCAAACAGCACGUGAAAUUGUUGAAAGGGAAGCGCUUGCAGCCAGACUUGCCUGUAGUUGCUUAUCCGGACUUUUGUCCGGUGCACUCUUCUAUAGGCAGGCCAGCAUCAGUUUGGGCGGUUAGAUAAAGGUCUCUGUCAUGUACCUCUCUUCGGAGAGGCCUUAUAGGGGAGACGACAUGUAACCAGCCUGGACUGAGGUCCGCGCAUCUGCUAGGAUGCUGGCGUAAUGGCUGUAAGCGGCCCGUCUUGAAACACGGACCAAGGAGUCUAACAUCUAUGCGAGUGUUUGGGUGUCAAGCCCAGACGCGUAAUGAAAGUGAACGGAGGUAAGAACCCUUUGGGUGCAUUAUCGACCGAUCCUGAUGUCUUCGGAAGGAUUUGAGUAAGAGCAUGGCUGUUGGGACCCGAAAGAUGGUGAACUAUGCUUGAAUAGGGUGAAGCCAGAGGAAACUCUGGUGGAGGCUCGCAGCGGUUCUGACGUGCAAAUCGAUCGUCAAAUUUGGGCAUAGGGGCG
rnacentral:rRNA from 1 species